CAAUUGCUUGCUGAGGGCAGAUCAAAUGGAUGUGGCUGUCGAAGCCUCCCGCCGUGACAAUGCUGUGCUCACCAGCGAUUACGUCGGUAUUGCUACCAAUCACCAUGGCCUUGUCGACUCCGGCCAUGACGUCCGGAUUGCCAGCCUUGCCGAUGCCGACGAUGAAUCCGUCUUUCAGACCGAUGUCAGCUUUGUAGAUUCCGGUCCAGUCCACGAUCAACGCAUUGGUGAUGACAGUGUCAAGACACUCCGUGUCGGCCCAGCCCACGGCCUGACCCAUACCAUCGCGGAUCG
rfam:Rachicladosporium antarcticum strain CCFEE 5527 scaffold_6, whole genome shotgun sequence.